rnacentral:rRNA from 1 species
UUAAGUUAAUAAGGGCGCACGGUGGAUGCCUUGGCACUAGAAGCCGAAGAAGGACGUGACAAACGACGAAAUGCUUUGGGGAGCUGUAAGUAAGCGCUGAUCCAGAGAUGUCCGAAUGGGGGAACCCACUAACUAAUGGUUAGUAUCCAUAACUGUUAAGGUUAUGAGAAGGAAGACGCAGUGAACUGAAACAUCUAAGUAGCUGCAGGAAGAGAAAGCAAACGCGAUUGCCUUAGUAGCGGCGAGCGAAACGGCAGGGGGGCAAACCGAAGGGUUUACACUUCGGGGGUGUAGGACUGCGACGUGGGACUUUAAAAGGAUAGAAGAAUUACCUGGGAAGGUAAGCCAAAGAGAGUAAAAGCCUCGUAUUUAAAAUUCUUUUGANGCGCUGAUCCAGAGAUGUCCGAAUGGGGGAACCCACUAACUAAUGGUUAGUAUCCAUAACUGUUAAGGUUAUGAGAAGGAAGACGCAGUGAACUGAAACAUCUAAGUAGCUGCAGGAAGAGAAAGCAAACGCGAUUGCCUUAGUAGCGGCGAGCGAAACGGCAGGAGGGCAAACCGAAGUGUUUACACUUCGGGGUUGUAGGACUGCGACGUGGGACUUUAAAAGGAUAGAAGAAUUACCUGGGAAGGUAAGCCAAAGAGAGUAAAAGCCUCGUAUUUAAAAUUCUUUUGAGCCCUAGCAGUAUCCUGAGUACGGCGAGACACGUGAAAUCUCGUUGGAAUCUGGGAGGACCAUCUCCCAACCCUAAAUACUCUCUAGUGACCGAUAGUGAACCAGUACCGUGAGGGAAAGGUGAAAAGCACCCCGGGAGGGGAGUGAAAUAGAACCUGAAACCGUGUGCCUACAACAAGUUCGAGCCCGUUAAUGGGUGAGAGCGUGCCUUUUGUAGAAUGAACCGGCGAGUUACGAUAUGAUGCGAGGUUAAGUUGAAGAGACGGAGCCGUAGGGAAACCGAGUCUUAAUAGGGCGAUUUAGUAUCAUGUUGUAGACCCGAAACCAUGUGACCUACCCAUGAGCAGGUUGAAGGUGAGGUAAAACUCACUGGAGGACCGAACCAGGGCACGUUGAAAAGUGCUUGGAUGACUUGUGGGUAGCGGAGAAAUUCCAAACGAACUUGGAGAUAGCUGGUUCUCUCCGAAAUAGCUUUAGGGCUAGCGUCGAUGUUAAGUCUCUUGGAGGUAGAGCACUGUUUGGGUGAGGGGUCCAUCUCGGAUUACCAAUCUCAGAUAAACUCCGAAUGCCAACGAGAUAUCAUCGGCAGUCAGACUGCGAGUGCUAAGAUCCGUAGUCGAAAGGGAAACAGCCCAGACCACCAGCUAAGGUCCCAAAAUAACUGUUAAGUGGAAAAGGAUGUGGGGUUGCACAGACAACUAGGAUGUUAGCUUAGAAGCAGCUAUUCAUUCAAAGAGUGCGUAAUAGCUCACUAGUCGAGUGACCCUGCGCCGAAAAUGUACCGGGGCUAAAACAGUUUACCGAAGCUGUGGAUGACACAAAAGUGUCAUGGUAGGAGAGCGUUCUAUGUGUGAAGAAGGUGUACCGUGAGGAGCGCUGGAACGCAUAGAAGUGAGAAUGCCGGUAUGAGUAGCGAAAGACAGGUGAGAAUCCUGUCCACCGUAAGACUAAGGUUUCCAGGGGAAGGCUCGUCCGCCCUGGGUUAGUCGGGACCUAAGGAGAGACCGAAAGGUGUAUCCGAUGGCCAACAGGUUGAUAUUCCUGUACUAGAGUAUAUAGUGAUGGAGGGACGCAGUAGGCUAACUAAACCGGACGAUUGGAAGAGUCCGGCUAAGCAGUGAGGUGUAAGAUGAGUCAAAUGCUUAUCUUUAUAACAUUGAGCUGUGAUGGGGAGCGAAUUUUAGUAGCGAAGUUAGUGAUGUCACACUGCCAAGAAAAGCUUCUAGCGUUUAAUGAUACUCUACCCGUACCGCAAACCGACACAGGUAGUCGAGGCGAGUAGCCUCAGGUGAUCGAGAGAACUCUCGUUAAGGAACUCGGCAAAAUGACCCCGUAACUUCGGGAGAAGGGGUGCUGACUUAGGUCAGCCGCAGUGAAUAGGCCCAAGCAACUGUUUAUCAAAAACACAGCUCUCUGCUAAAUCGUAAGAUGAUGUAUAGGGGGUGACGCCUGCCCGGUGCUGGAAGGUUAAGAGGAGGGUUUAGCGCAAGCGAAGAUCUGAAUUGAAGCCCCAGUAAACGGCGGCCGUAACUAUAACGGUCCUAAGGUAGCGAAAUUCCUUGUCGGGUAAGUUCCGACCCGCACGAAAGGCGUAAUGAUUUGGGCACUGUCUCAACGAGAGACUCGGUGAAAUUUUAGUACCUGUGAAGAUGCAGGUUACCCGCGACAGGACGGAAAGACCCCAUGGAGCUUUACUGCAGUUUGAUAUUGAGUAUCUGUACCACAUGUACAGGAUAGGUAGGAGCCAUUGACUUCGGGACGCCAGUUUCGAAUGAGGCGUUGUUGGGAUACUACCCUUGUGUUAUGGCUACUCUAACCCAGAUAGGUUAUCCCUAUCGGAGACAGUGUCUGACGGGCAGUUUGACUGGGGCGGUCGCCUCCUAAAGAGUAACGGAGGCGCCCAAAGGUUCCCUCAGAUUGGUUGGAAAUCAAUCGCAGAGUGUAAAGGUAUAAGGGAGCUUGACUGCGAGAGCUACAACUCGAGCAGGGACGAAAGUCGGGCUUAGUGAUCCGGUGGUACCGAAUGGAAGGGCCAUCGCUCAACGGAUAAAAGCUACCCUGGGGAUAACAGGCUUAUCUCCCCCAAGAGUUCACAUCGACGGGGAGGUUUGGCACCUCGAUGUCGGCUCGUCGCAUCCUGGGGCUGUAGUCGGUCCCAAGGGUUGGGCUGUUCGCCCAUUAAAGCGGCACGCGAGCUGGGUUCAGAACGUCGUGAGACAGUUCGGUCCCUAUCCGUCGCGGGCGUAGGAAAUUUGAGAGGAUCUGCUCCUAGUACGAGAGGACCAGAGUGGACUUACCGCUGGUGUACCAGUUGUCUUGCCAAAGGCAUCGCUGGGUAGCUAUGUAGGGAAGGGAUAAGCGCUGAAAGCAUCUAAGUGCGAAGCCCCCCUCAAGAUGAGAUUUCCCAUGAUUUUAUAUCAGUAAGAGCCCUGAGAGAUGAUCAGGUAGAUAGGUUAGGAGUGUAAGUGUAGCGAUACAUGUAGCGGACUAAUACUAAUAGCUCGAGGACUUAUCCAA